GGCGGGGGACCACUCCACUCAAUGGUUCUUCGCACAUUCAAGAAGGAGGAAGCAGUUCCGCAGACUCGCGGUGCGGCAGUGUGGAGACCUGCCGUAAUGCGGUUCGCGCAAGGCAAAGGCGCUGAAUGUUUCCCAUUCGGGAGCCCGCUGAAUGCGCGACGCGAGGCAGCCCGGGAGGUGUCCCGGCUGCCAGAGCAAAUGAUAUG
rnacentral:ncRNA from 1 species